ACAAAUGACGUCAUAAGCAAGUAUUCUCGUUCUUUUGAUCUAGGCAUGACAGUUGUGAAAAUAUCGACUUGUUGACCGCUUUGUUGAUCUUGUCACAAAAUUUUGUUACCGUAAAAAAUACAGGAUAAAGGAAGGGAUUGUUACAUCUAUGCAGCAACUUGUCAACGAAUAGUCAAGGUCUUGGCGGAUGUUUUGAGCGCACAGUAACAAACACUGGUCUAAGUGUAUCAACGCAGGAAGCUAAAUAAAAAGAUACACGUGAUUACAUCUGCUGAUCGGAAGGAGUUGCUGAGGAUGUAAAAAACAAGCCAUAUUUUGGGGAAAUGGAGUAGGAAGACGUUGGCUGGUUGCAGUGACAUUUUAACAGUACCGCAGUAGAUGUUUAGGAAGUGCUGAUAGACGAAGCUAUGAUUACCUAGUAGAGCAAAACAGUUCCGCAAUCCAGAAUUCCAGAAACAAAGGAUGCAUCAUAGUUGGACUAGUGUAAACGGAAUUAAUGCAGUGGACUUUUAUUUGUUGGACAAUCCAUAUUAUUAGUUUGACAAUUGAUUUAUAAAGACACCUGUCAAAAUGUAUUAGGCAGGUAUAAAACAAAAUAAAAGGCUUCUUAUGGUCAACCUUCAUACUAUAGUAGCCUGCUGUCAGAAAAUUACCUCUUACAUUAUUUAGGUAAAGAGUAAAGGUGACAGGUAUCUCAUUACUGCAGACUAUCUGGAAUAAUGAUCUUUCCUCGGACAUUUAAAUGUAAAGGCUAAUUGCAGGUGGCUAGUAGAUGAAACCUGUUAUUCUAGCGACCAGUAGGUUUAAGGUCAAGGUCGGGUGAGCGAUUAGGAUCGAUGAAUGUCCGUUGUCCGUCCGUUCAAUUUAGUCUGUUUACACUCUAGCAUCAACAAUUUUAAAGCAAUUUUAAUCAAAAUCAAAGGAAAAUCUUGUAAAAACUCUAGAUGUCACAUUUAUGAACAUAUCUUUCUGAAACUUGGUUUAGAACGUUUAUCUUGACAAUCUUUAUGAAAUUUUCGAAACUGGUUCAAGUGAGGUCAGAAACAAGGUCACUUGGCCAGAUUAAAGAAAAAACUUGUUAACUCUCUGGAAACCACUUUUUAAAUUUGAAACUCUUGAUAGUCAGAUUUUUGUUUUAGGUUAAAUUUGAUUCUGUGUCGAAUCAAAGGAAAACUGUAUAUGUGUGUGUAAUAGGGUGUGCAUUUUACACUGAAUCUUCAUGAAAUUUGAUCAGAAUGUUUACCUUGCUGUAAUCAAGGUCAGCUUUGAAUAUGGGUUAUCUGAGUCAAAAACUAGGUCACCCGAUUAAAUCAAAGAAAACUCUGUGUGUAUGCAAUAAGGGCAGCAUUUUAUGCUGGAUCUUUAUAAAAUCUGAUCAGAAUGUUUGUCUUGAUGCAAUCUAGAUCAAGUGUGAAUAUGGGUCAUCUGGGGUAAAAAAAUAGGUAACCCGGUCAAAUAAAAAAGAGCAAAACCUUGUGUGCAAUAGAGGCCGCAUUUUUCACUGAUCUUCAUGAAAUUUGAUCAGAAUGUUUGUUUUAAUAAAAUCUAGGUCAAGUUUGAAUUUGUAUCAUCUGGGGUAAAAAAAUAGUUCACCUGGUCGAAACAAAGAUAAACUGUGCGUAUGCAAUGGGGGCUGCAUUUUUCACUGAAUAUUCGGUAAAUUCGAUCAGAAUGUUUGUCUUGAUUAUCUUUAGGCCAAGUUUGAAACUGGGUCAUGUGGGGUCAAAAACUAGGUCAUGAGGCCAGAUUUAAGGAAAAUCUUGUUAACACUCUGGAGACCACACAAGUUUAAAACUCAUGAGAAUUAGUCAGAAUGUUUGUCUUGAUGACUUCCCACAUUUUGCAAAUCCAUUUUAAUCAAACUUGCACACAACUUGUAUUGGCAUAAUAUCUCGUUGUCUUUCGAAAACUAGGCAGAUCACAUUUUGGGCUCCAGAGUUAUGGCCCCUUAGAGGGCCAAAAUUUGCUAUUUAUGGCUUGUGAACACGAAAGAGACCACACUUUUGUAACAAACUUUAAUCAAACUUGCACACAAUUUGUAUUGGCAUAAUAUAUAUCGGAUUCUUUCGAAAACUAGGCAGAUCCCACCAUGGGUUCCAGAGUUAUGACCCUUUAAAGGGCCAAAGUUGCUGUUUUUAGCUCACAUAGUGACAAGGUGAGCUUUUGUGAUCACACUUCGUCCGUCGUCCGUCGUCAGUCCGUCCGUGCGUGCAUCCGUCAACAAUUUCUUGUCUGCACGAUAGUGGUUUCAUUUAUGAUUUUAUUUUAACCAAACUUGCACACAACUUGUAUCACCAUAAGAUCUCGGUUCCUUCCUUGAACUGGCCAGAUCCCAUUAUGGGUUCCAGAGUUAUGGCCCCUGAAAGGGCCAAAAUUAGCUAUUUUGACCUUGUCUGCAUAAUAGCAGCUUUAUUUAUGAUUUGAUUUUUACUAAACUUGCACACAAUUUGUAUCACCAUAACAUCUUGAUUCCUUUCUUGAACUGGCCAGAUUCCUUUAUGGGUUCCAGAGUUACGGCCCCUGAAAGGACCAGAAUUAGCUAUUUUGACCUUGUCUGCACAAUAGCAGCUUCAUUUAUGAUUUGAUUUUAACCAGACUUGCACACAACUUGUAUCACCACAAGAUCUUGGUUCCUUUCUUGAACUCGCCAGAUUUCAUCAUGGGUUCCAGAGUUAUUGCCCCUUAACUGUCCAAAAUAGGCUAUUUUGGCUUUUGCAGCCAUAUAGAGACUUCAUUUAUGGUUUGAUUUGAUACAAACUUCCAAAAUAACUUCAACAACAAUAAUUCUUGGAUUUCAUGACAAAUCAGAUCCAAGCUUAGGUUCAGAGUUAUUUUAUAUCUGAUUACCUCCCCUGAUUGUAAUCAAAAUGGAUUUAUAUCAGUAAGUACUUAUAGGGCUUAUUUGAAAUUCCAUUAUUGUCAUUAGUUGGACUGAGCCAAUCAGGGUAGAUAACUAUGGACUGAUUUUAUGUCAAAUUACCUCCCUUUAUUAAUCCCCCGCCGUGGCAGAGGGAUUAUAGGAAUGGUCUGCGUCCGUCCUUCCGUCGUCCGUCCGUAACAAAAUCGUGUCCGGUCCAUAUCUCCUAAACCCCUUGAAGGAUUUUCAUGAAACUUGGGUCAAAUGAUCACCUCAUCAAGACGAUGUGCAGUACCCAUGAGUCAGCUUUGUCGGUUCAAGGUCAAGGUCACAACUCAAGGUCAAAGGUUUGAGCCUGCCAUUUUGUGUCCGCUCUAUAUCUCCUAAACCCCUUGAAGGAAUUUAAUAAAACUUAGGUCAAAUGAUCACCUCAUCAAGACGAUGUGCAGAAUCUAUGAGUCAGCCAUGCUGGCUCAAGGUCAAGGUCACAACUCAAGGUCAAAGGUUUGAGCCUUCCAUUUUGUAUCCACUCUAUAUCUCUUAAACCCCUUGAAGGAAUUUUAUAAAACUUGGGUCAAAUGAUCACCUCAUCAAGACGAUGUGCAGAACCCAUGAGUCAGUCAUGCCGGCUCAAGGUCAAGGUCACAACUUGGGGUCAAAUGUUUGAGCCUUCCAUUUUGUGUCCGCUCUAUAUCUCCUAAACCCCUUGAAGGAUUUUCAUCAAACUUGGGUCAAACGAUCACCUCAUCAAGGCGAUAUGCAGAACUUAUGAGUCAGCCAUGUCGGCUGAAGGUCAAGGUCACAACUGAAGGUCAAAUGUUUGAGCCUUCCAUUUCGUGUCCGCUCUAUAUCUCCUAAACCCCUUGAAGGAAUUUUAUAAAACUUGGGUCAAAUGAUUACCUCAUCAGAACGAUGUGCAGAAAUUAUGAGUCAACCAUGCCAGCUUAAGGUCAAGGUCACAACUAAGGGUCGAAGGUUUGAGUUCCAUUUGGUGUCCACUCUGUAUCUCCUUAACCCCUUGAAGGAUUUUCAUCAAACUUGGGUCAAAUGAUCACCUCAUCAAGAACUCAUGAGUCAGCCAUGUCAACUCAAGGUCAAGGUCACAACUGAAGGUCAAAGGUUUCAGCUCUGUAUCUCCUAAACCCCUUGAAGGAUUUUUAUGAAACUUUGGUCAAAUGAUCACCUCAUCAAGACGUUGUGCAGAAUUCAUCAGUCAGCCAUGUCAGUUCAAGGUCAAGGUCACAGCUAAAAUCGAAGGUUUACCCUUUCACUAUCCAUAGCAGUGGCGGGGGAUUUAGCUGUCUUUCAGACUGCCUUGUUUCAAAUUAAAAUGGGUAUAUCUCCGUAACUAACGAAGAUACUGAUCUGAAAUUUCAUUUAUGUCAACAGAUUUAUUUGGCAGAUCCUUAUUUUGUUCACUUACAAUAUUUUUUUUUAUUACUUUCCUUUUACGUUACUAUAAAUAGCUUAUAUUUAGUAACUUUUUUAUUAUUGGCCAUAGGGAAAAACCGAGACCACUUUUCUGUGGUACAGCAUGGAUGGUACCUCCAAUUUGUAGGUGUAUUUUGACAUAUCUGGGCCUUGUAAGAAUUUUUUUUUCUUUUUGGUUAAAUUUCUUCCCUUUGUUGUUACUGUCCUUUGGGCUUAGAUAUUUUUUCUGAGGACCUUCUUGUCCUCAAGUGCAAUGAUAACAGGUGAGCGAUAUAGGGCCAUCAUGGCCCUCUUGUUUGGCUUGUGAACACGAUAAAGACCACAUUUUGCAAUUAUUUUUAAUCAAACUAUGCACACAAUUUGUAUUAGCAUAAUAUUUCGGUUCCUUUCGAAAACUAGGCAGACCCUAUCAUGGGUGCUAAAGUUAUGGCUCCUUGCAGGGCCAAAAUUUGCUAUUUUUGGCUUGUGAACACGAUAGAGACCACAUUUUGUAACCAACUUUAAUCAAACUUGCACACAACUUGCACACAACUUGUAUUGGCAUAAUAUCUCGGCUCCCUUCGAAAACUGGCUAGAUUUCAUCAUGGGUUCGAGAGUUAUGGCCCAUUAAAUGGCCAAAAUUUGCUAUUUUUGGCUUGUGAACUCGAAACAGACGUUUUGAAAUUGAUUUUAACUAAACUUGUAAACAAUUUGUAUUGGCGUAAUAACGUGGUUCCUUUCGAAAACUGACCAGAUCCCAUCACAGAGUUAUGGCCCUUUAAAGGGCCAAAAUGUGCUAUUUUGGCUUUUGCAGCCAUAUAGAGACUUCAUUUAUGGUUUGAUUUGAAACAAACUUGCAGAAUAUUUUUAACAACAAUAUCUCUUGGAUUCCUUGACCCUCUUGUUUACUGAUUAUUCGUGGACUUUGAUCAGAAUGUUUGUCUUGGUAAAAUCUAGGUCGUUAUGAGGCCCCUUCCGCACGCUCAGGAAUCUACAUUUUUAGUUGUUUUUAUACGAAAAUUAUAUCUCGGGUGGGGAACUCCGAACCCCCUCCCCCACCAUUUUUAUAGGAGAUAUUCCCUCCUUUUAUCUCUCUCUUUUUUGUACGUAAUGUAAAAAUGAGCACAGCCCCUGAUAUAGAAAAAAAAACCUACCAAAAUACGUUCCAUUCCAUGAUCCUUAACACAGGAUAUAUAGGCCUAGCACAUGUACGAAACUACGUCUUUUGAUAUCAGGCACAAACUCUCCUCGUUUUUUUUUGUCGGGAUAUAUAAACAAAAGAAGUAUUUUGUUAAAGUACUCGGUAUUGAUUAAAAAGUUUAAAUCGUUUUAUUCUCUUCAAACAUGCAUUUUCAAACUUCUUGCAAACUGUUCUGUUGACACUUCCGCUGAUAGUCGCGGAUCAAUGUAUCUGCGCGUCAAGUACCACGGGUGAAACUAUGCAGUGUGAUUGAUUCAUAACACCUUAAACGUGUUAAGGUACUUCCGCAAAUUGACAUUAGAAAUUCAUGUGAAAAAUCAGAAUCCUCGAAACAGCUUUCGAAAUGCAAGGACACAAAAAAUAUAUGAUAAAAGUUGAAAAGAUAUAUCUGUAGGUAAACUUGCGAGCAUGAAAGCUACGCUGAACCCUAUCUCCACAGUGCUUUGGAAGAAAAUGAGUGAACAUUUUUGGUGCAAAAUUUCGGUAUCGUAUGCAACCUAAAUUGCUAUAAAAUAUUUAUUUUCAAAUCAAAGAAAUGCCAAAAUAGUGCACACGAGCGUUACUUUUUCAAGAAAAUGUCGUUAAACAUUCUAAUGCGCAAAACACGUGCACAGUUUUUCUAAAAUAUUUCGCCGCCAUGUUUAUUUCAAGGAAUUAAAUAUAUGAUUUGUUCUUUUACCUCAGAUUUUCUUACUGAAAUAUAUGUGCCUCCUUAUUCAUGGUUAGAGAUAUCCAUUUAGUAUAGUUUAGCACUGCCCGAUCUCCUUAAUCUGUUACCGAUCCUUUACAUUUAAAGAAUAAACGCAAUGUGUAAUGAUAGUUUUUCGCUUUACACAUCACCUUUGGACAAGAAAGGCGUUUCACUUAAAAUUUGUAAGUAUCCGCUGGCAAAAUAUUAUUGAAAGAUCGGAACUUUUUCUAAAAUAAAGUUCAAUUUCAAUCAUUUUCAAAAAACUGGAAAUAUUGCACAUUGUGUUGAAUACAUAAAUAAAACAAAAAUCCCCAAAAUAAACCAUUUUAGAACUUUUCCGGGAACUGUGGGUCAUCUGGGUUUAGAAACAACGUCACCCGGUCAAAAAAAGGAAAAAGAAAUACUCUGUGUGUGUGUGUGUGUGUGUGCAACAGGAGCUGCAUUUUUCACUGAAUAUUCGUGAAAUUCGAUGAGAAUGAUAUUCUUGAAAAAAUCUAGGUCAAGUUUAAAUAUUGGUCAUCUGUCGUUAAAAACUAGGUCACCAAGUCAAAUCUGACAAAAACGUUGUGUAAGCAAUUGGGGCUGCGUUUUCUAACUGGAUAUUUGUGAAAUUUGAACAGAUUGUUUGUCUUGAUCAGAUCUUGGUAAAGUUUAAAUAUAGGUCAUAUGGGGUCAAAAAGUUGGAUCAUUCUGUCAACUUAUAGAAAAACUUGGUGUGUGCAAGAGGGGCUGCAUUUUUAUCUGAUAUGCAUGAAACUUGGUCAGGAUGUUUGUCUCCAUGAAAUCUCUAGUUUGUUUAUCUGGGUUACGUCGGUUCAAAAACUAGGUCACCAUGUCAGAAAAAGCUUGUUUACACACUAGGGCCACAUUUUUUAUUUAAUAUUUAUUGAACUUGGCCAGAAAGUUUGUUUUCACAAAGUCUUAGAGGAUUUUGAAUCUUGGUUACGUGGGGUCAAACACUAGGUUACUAGGUCAAAUCAAGGGAAAGGCUUGUUUACACUGUAGAUGCCACUCUUUUGCUCCAAUCUUUACAAAUCUUUGUUAGAAUUUUUGUUUCUGUAAAAUCUUGGACGAGUUGUAAUUUGGGUCUUAUGAGUCAAAAACUAGGUCACUAUGCCAAAUCUUGUUUAUACACUAAAGUAUACAUUUGUGCUCCAAUAUUCAUGUAACUUGGGCAGAAUGUUUAUUACAUGAAAAACUCGGACGAAUUUGAAAUGGAUGUUUACACUGUUAUGGUGUGUUUCUCAGGCGAGCGACCUAGGGCCAUUUUUGCCUUCUUGCGUAUGAUUUUUUUUCACUGGCAUCGACGCAGAUUUGUGGAAUUUUCAAAUUUACUGUCCUUAAUUAUGCCAAUAGAAUUUGAUGUCUUAUAAAAUUAUUAGUUAUUUUGUGAUGCUAUGACUUGUAUAUUGUGUGACAUGUUAUGUAUAAAUCAAAACUAAUAAAAAAAUGUAUAUUACGAG